rnacentral:rRNA from 1 species
GUACACGCUGUGACUAGCAUAUCAAUAAGCGGAGGAAAAGAAACUAACAAGGAUUCCCUUAGUAACGGCGAGUGAAGCGGGAAGAGCUCUAAUUUGAAAUCUUCAAGGUUUUACCUUGACGAAUUGUAGUUUAAAGAAGUGUUUUCUGCUGAAGUUUUGGUAAAAGUUCUUUGGAAUAGGACAUCAUAGAGGGUGAGAAUCCCGUAUUUGACCAUUAUUUUCAGCUUUGUGAUACACUUUCAAAGAGUCGGAUUGUUUGGGAAUGCAGUCCAAAAUGGGUGGUAAAUUUCAUCUAAAGCUAAAUAUUGGCGAGAGACCGAUAGCGAACAAGUACCGUGAGGGAAAGAUGAAAAGAGCUUUGAAAAGAGAGUUAAACAGUACGUGAAAUUGUCAAAAGGGAAGCGUUUGACACCAGUGUUGUUUUCUCGAAAAUCAAUUAAAAAUGGCUCGAUUUUGUAUUGUUGAGACCUUAUAAGCUUCACUGUACAUCUUUUCGUGUCUUUUUAAUGCACUUUUCGUUUAACAAGUCAACAUCAGUUUCUUUUGUUGUAAAAGGGUCAUUGGAAGGUGGCUUUCUUUUCGGAGGAAGUGUUUAUAGCCUUUGGCCUCUGCAAUCGGAGAGACUGAGGUCUGCAGCGUAGACUCUUCGGGGUUAGAUACAUUUGUGCUAAGUUAUAGCUUUUCAUAGACAACUUGUUGACUAUAGUUAGUCAUUGUAGCUUACUCGCUUAUGCUAUUUUACCUACGCUUAGGAUGUUGAUCUACAGAGCGAGAGU